GACAUACUAAGAACUUUCCAGAGAUGGAUUGGUGCCUUCGGGAACCUAGAUACAGGUGCUGCAUGGCUGUCGUCAGCUCGUGUCGUGAGAUGUUGGGUUAAGUCCCGCAACGAGCGCAACCCUUUUCCUUAUUUGCCAGCGGGUCAUGCCGGGAACUUUAAGGAUACUGCCAGUGACAAACUGGAGGAAGGCGGGGACGACGUCAAGUCAUCAUGGCCCUUACGGCCAGGGCUACACACGUGCUACAAUGGUCGGUACAAAGGGUUGCUACCUCGCGAGAGGAUGCUAAUCUCAAAAAGCCGAUCGUAGUCCGGAUCGCAGUCUGCAACUCGACUGCGUGAAGUCGGAAUCGCUAGUAAUCGCGGAUCAGAAUGCCGCGGUGAAUACGUUCCCGGGCCUUGUACACACCGCCCGUCACACCAUGGGAGUUUGUUGCACCAGAAGUAGGUAGUCUAACCGCAAGGAGGACGCUUACCACGGUGUGGCCGAUGACUGGGGUGAAGUCGUAACAAGGUAGGCGUAGAUGA
rnacentral:rRNA from 1 species